rnacentral:rRNA from 1 species
UACGGAGGGAGCUAGCGUUGUUCGGAAUUACUGGGCGUAAAGCGCGCGUAGGCGGCUUUGUAAGUUAGAGGUGAAAGCCCGGGGCUCAACCCCGGAAUUGCCUUUAAGACUGCAUCGCUUGAAUCCGGGAGAGGUGAGUGGAAUUCCGAGUGUAGAGAUGAAAUUCGUAGAUAUUCGGAAGAACACCAGUGGCGAAGGCGGCUCACUGGACCGGCAUUGACGCUGAGGUGCGAAAGCGUGGGGAGCAAACAGG